ACACACACACACACACACACACACACAUGCUAUCUCUUCAAGAAUGAAAAAAAAAAAGAUCUAGUUCCUGACUUGAGGCAAAUGUUUGUUGGAAUAAGUGGUGAUUUCCUGGUCGUGCAUUAAAGGGAGAUGAGACUUCUUUUAACCGGAGUGUUAAUCCAGCAGCGGAUGAGACGCAGCACGGAGCACGCAGAAGUAAAAAACAGGAAGAGUGACGGAGUGUAUAGGUGCGAGCAGUGACAUUAGGAAUGUCUCCUCUGGUUUUAAUGCACCGUUGCCCGUCGGUGGAGGAUGCAGGCUAAAGCUCGGCACACAUGAAGCCCAUUUACCGUCAUCCUCGCAUCUGUUCUCACUAAUCCCCUCCAGACGUAACAAUAUGUUCUCCAAUAAGAUUAUGAUUGCUCAAUAAGCCUUAUCUAUGUAAUUCAGAAAACAUAUACCGCUUUAAACCAGCUCGCUAGAUUAGAGCAGUUUGGAGCUAAUCUGGAGUCAGUCUGGAGUCAAUCUGUGCUGCUGGGGGGGGAGGAGGGGGGAGGGGGAAUUAUUUUAAUCUGGGUGGAAAUAAUCCUGUGAUUCCCCCUCAGUCUGUUUUGUUUUAUUCCGAGCCCGAGUGUGUGAGUUGAUUUAACGUCAUACUAAUCCUCCAGUCGCUGUCUGGCUGAGGCUCGAGACACCCCGGGAGUUUGAAGCGUGUGUAAUUUACACGCACGCUGUUAUUAAUGAAAUCAGCACUUGAAUUGAUUAGACAAGCAGAUUAUGAUGAUGUGAGCGUGAGCAGAUUACUGUAUUGACUGCGUCUUGUUUAAUAAAGGUGUAAUCACAGCGUAAUUAAGCGCACUAUUUACAGCUUAUUAUAAGAGUUAGGUACAUCCGAGGUUUAAUAGAUAAUUGAACACUGGUGUGGUUUUUUUUUUUAUUCAUUUGGAUGUGGAUGAACGAAGCUGGUUUGAUGUUUAUUGAAAACAUGUCUAAAGCUCCAAGGAUAAAUUUUGCCAAUAAAAUGCCAAUGCUAAUAAAAUGUGACGGAAAAUAAACAAACUAUGAACGAUA